rnacentral:rRNA from 1 species
ACGGGAGGCAGCAGUGGGGAAUAUUGCACAAUGGGCGAAAGCCUGAUGCAGCGACGCCGCGUGAGUGAAGAAGUAUUUCGGUAUGUAAAGCUCUAUCAGCAGGGAAGAUAAUGACAGUACCUGACUAAGAAGCCCCGGCUAACUACGUGCCAGCAGCCGCGGUAAUACGUAGGGGGCAAGCGUUAUCCGGAUUUACUGGGUGUAAAGGGAGCGUAGGUGGCAUAGCAAGUCAGAUGUGAAAGCCCGGGGCUUAACCUCGGGACUGCAUUUGAAACUGCUAAGCUAGAGUACAGGAGAGGCAAGUGGAAUUCCUAGUGUAGCGGUGAAAUGCGUAGAUAUUAGGAGGAACACCAGUGGCGAAGGCGGCUUGCUGGACUGUUACUGACACUGAGGCUCGAAAGCGUGGGGAGCAAACAGGAUUAGAUACCCUGGUA